AGAGCGCAGCCAGCUGCGUGAAUUAAUGUGAAUUGCAGGACACAUUGAACAUCGAUAUCUUGAACGCAUAUUGCGGCCUCGGUUCUUGCCGAGGCCACGCCUGUCUCAGGGUCGUAUGACUAGCAAUCGCAAAGUUCUCUUUGCGCCCUGGGUUGUCGAAGCUGCGCCCGUCCUCUGUGCGUCGGCUCCGUCGCCUCAAAUGCAGACCGGUCUGUGUCGGCAGACUUCGUCCGUGAACGCUCGGGCGGUGGCUCGGAUCUGAAUCGCCCCCGCAGCGUGUCUUGUUCGAAACUUCGUCGACGACCAAUCAUUUCAUUCAUUUGAUGACCUGA
rnacentral:rRNA from 1 species